AUAAAGAACAAACCCAAAAAAGGACACCACAAAUCUCAAAAAUCUAAAUCCAUUUUUUCAAAAUCUACGCAUUCUUAUAAAUGAAUGAAACUCGCCAUAUUAAGAGUAAAGAACAUAAUUUUACCUUGAAGAAUUGAAAUCCUAACUUAGAUCGAAGAUAGCGAUGGAGAUGGUAAUAACAACACAAGAAGACGAAAAUGGUGAUGGAGACGAAGAUGACGACGGAGGUGUUCGAGAGAACUGAAAGAGAAAGUUGAGAUGUUGUACCGUGUUAUCUCUGUUUUAGAGAGAGAAUUAUGAACCAAUUCUCAAAAAAUUGACAAAUGAUCAAUCUCUUUUGAUUAUUCUUAUUUUAUAUUUUUAAAAAGUUUUAAAAAAUUUAAAAAUUAUAUUUUAACCCCAAUUUAGUUUAAUCACUAAUUUAAAAAAAAUUGACUUGAAAUGGUUAAACUUAAAUUUGUCAUUCUACACUUAAUUUUCUCUGGAAAGUUCCUCUUCACAUCUUCUGCUCGAAGACGCCAUUAGAGCUUGAUGGCACUAAUCUUCACCUCGUUUUGCCUGUCUGAGCUCCAAUCUCUUCAAAUAAGAAUUAUUCUUGAAGCUAAUUCUUAUUAAUUUUGUUAAUCCUCUGCAAAUUAGCCUCUUUGAGCUAUAACAUAUCACUGCUUUAGGUCGAUCACCUUAAGUCACCUAAAUCUCUCACCAGGUGUUGUGUAAGAGACUAAAUGGAGCUUGCUCCAAGAGUUUGAUGUUGAAUCUCAUCUCGAGCUUAUCAUGCUUCAGAUCCACAAGCUGAUAUCAAAGUGUAUUAAUUAAGGUUCACAGGAUUAAGGAAAUACUAAUUCAGAUCAAGCAAAGACAUUGGAACAAGUUUAGAAAGGAGCUGGUGGCAGUUGCGUAUGGAGCUAUGAUUUACUCCAUAUGGAUGGCUAGGAACCAGCUAGUCCUCAGGCAGAUUCGAACAGAGAAAAAUUUUGUAUUGCAACAAAUAAAUUUGUAAUUAGAUAAAGAGUUCAAAUGUUCAUAAAUAGAAGAAGGGCAAGGCAGUGUCGAGGAUGAUUAGCAGAACUUGUAAUUAGAGCUUAGAGAUCUAUCAGUUCUAAAUACCUCUAUGGUAUAUUAGACUAUGGAUGUUCUUUAGGUGUAUUUUUGAAGUUUGUUGGUAUGGUAACUUUCACAGUUGAUACUCAAAAAAAUUAUCACUGAAUACCAAUUGUUAACAA